rnacentral:rRNA from 1 species
GACAGAGGGUGCAAACGUUGCUCGGAAUCACUGGGCGUAGAGGGCGUGUAGGCGGGAAUGUAAGUCGGGCGUGAAAUCCCUAGGCUCAACCUAGGAACUGCACUCGAAACUGCGUUUCUUGAGUAUCGGAGAGGAAAGCGGAAUACCUGGUGUAGAGGUGAAAUUCGUAGAUAUCAGGUGGAACACCAGUGGCGAAGGCGGCUUUCUGGACGAUAACUGACGCUGAGACGCGAAAGCGUGGGGAGCAAACAGG